rnacentral:rRNA from 1 species
AGAGUUUGAUCAUGGCUCAGAUUGAACGCUAGCGGGAUGCCUUACACAUGCAAGUCGAACGGCAGCACGGACUUCGGUCUGGUGGCGAGUGGCGAACGGGUGAGUAAUGUAUCGGAACGUGCCUAGUAGCGGGGGAUAACUACGCGAAAGCGUAGCUAAUACCGCAUACGCCCUACGGGGGAAAGCAGGGGAUCGCAAGACCUUGCACUAUUAGAGCGGCCGAUAUCGGAUUAGCUAGUUGGUGGGGUAACGGCUCACCAAGGCGACGAUCCGUAGCUGGUUUGAGAGGACGACCAGCCACACUGGGACUGAGACACGGCCCAGACUCCUACGGGAGGCAGCAGUGGGGAAUUUUGGACAAUGGGGGAAACCCUGAUCCAGCCAUCCCGCGUGUGCGAUGAAGGCCUUCGGGUUGUAAAGCACUUUUGGCAGGAAAGAAACGUCAUGGGUUAAUACCCUGUGAAACUGACGGUACCUGCAGAAUAAGCACCGGCUAACUACGUGCCAGCAGCCGCGGUAAUACGUAGGGUGCAAGCGUUAAUCGGAAUUACUGGGCGUAAAGCGUGCGCAGGCGGUUCGGAAAGAAAGAUGUGAAAUCCCAGAGCUUAACUUUGGAACUGCAUUUUUAACUACCGAGCUAGAGUGUGUCAGAGGGAGGUGGAAUUCCGCGUGUAGCAGUGAAAUGCGUAGAUAUGCGGAGGAACACCGAUGGCGAAGGCAGCCUCCUGGGA